CGUUCUCGUAUACGGUAGAAGCUUGUAGAACCUGCCAGCUAUCCCUUCUCGAUAGAGCAAUCGCGCACGUUCGCAACUUAUAAAUACCUUGUCAUCACAUAUGUCCUUCUCCUUUUGUUUUCAGUACGCACCGGCCCACACUCCAUCCUCACCACGAGCAAGUAUUAAAUCAGCCCACCAGUAGUUGUCCCGCCUUUUCUCAAAAAAUAUUAAACCAGCCCACCAGUACUCGUCCGGCCUUUAUUAGAUGCCCCCAAGCCGACGCUAGUACUUUCCUUGUUCUCCAAGGAUUGUAACAUGCAUGAUCCUUCAUUGAGGUUAGUCAAAACUCUAUAGUAAUGAGUGCGUUGUUGUUUCAAUGGUUAUGCACGAGAUUAGCUUAACGUUAUUUGGCUGAUUUGUUUUGCGACAAUACGGAGUCUGGUACGUACUUGCAUCAUUAUGCCCAUUACUUCGACGGGGCUGGAUUAACAACACAGGUUAAAAAGGGCGAUGUGGCGCGUCGGAGAAAAGAAUUGCUGCACGGCAUCGUGGGUUUGGAGAAGAACAAUGGUGUGAAACCAUCGUUCUGGAGUGGACACAAGGUGUGAAGAUCUGGAUUCAGAGGAAGGUUGUAAUGCCUAAAUUAAGGAAUGGAGAUUGUGGAGAGUCUCCUUAGUACCAAUAUGACCUGACGUGUUAGAGACAAAUAAUCUUUUGUAUUUUGAAA